GGGCGGGGGANNNNNNNNNNNNNNNNNNNNNNNNNNNNNNNNNNNNNNNNNNNNNNNNNNCUUGUUUUUUUUUUUUUUUUUUUUUUUUUUUUUUUUUUUUUUUUUUUUUUUUUUUUCCCGAGGGAGAGGACCCGCAGAUAACAAACAGGCUGCGAGAGGAAAGGAGCUGUCGGGCGCUUUGAGUCACGGCCCCGCGCGUUGCAACGCGGAUGGCAGCAGCCCACAUCAAAGCCCGCUGCGGAGUUGGGAAAGCGUCACGUUCCUGCAUGUCGUGCAAUUCGUCCUUAAUGAAAACCCGCACGGAGCUGCCCCAUGGGCAGCGGGUGGGAGCCCCGCAGAGCCCCCCGAGGGCUGCGCUCCCCGCAGCAAGGAAGGCACAGCCCGCACCGCGCCUGCCUGCAGCGGGGCACGGAUGGGCCGUCCGUGCUGCGCGAUGCCAACUCACGUCGCUACAAUCGGCCUCCGAGGCUCAGCACGUUCGGGGCUGAUUCACCCCCUGCCAGCAGCACAGCACAGCAUCAGCACUUAUUUCCCGUGCUCGGAACGGCGCUUUGUUGCCUCCGAACAGCGAUGUGAUCCCUGCAAAAAGCAGGUCUGCACAGCCGUUCUGCACUGCGUUUGGUGGUUAGGUGUGUUGGCGCGGGGGCUCGUGCCCCUUUGUUUCUCUGAGCAUUGGGAUGCUCCCAGGGGAUGGUCCUCCGUGCCGUGCCCACCCCACUUCCAUUGCCCAGCCCACGGUCCCCACCGCUCUGCGCUGUGACACUUGGCUAGAGGAGCCCCAGUGUCACUCACUGUUCCAGGUGACGCCGUGGGACACAGGAAGGUCCUCCAGCAGGACCUGGAGUGGUUGUCACCUGCAACGCAUCCCAGAACAUCACCUGCUCCUGGAUGAUCACCUGCCCACCGUCUCACCUUCUCACCAGUCACAGCCACCUGUUGCCAGGUGACACAGGUGCACAUCAUGGGGACGGUGACACCAGCUUGCAGAGCACCUGCACGGCUCUGCUGCUGCUCCCUGGGAAUGGGAUUCCCCCUCCCUUCCCUCAUGCAAAGCAGGGAUAAGGCUCGUGGCC
rnacentral:lncRNA from 1 species